rnacentral:rRNA from 1 species
GGAAUCUUCCACAAUGGACGAAAGUCUGAUGGAGCAACGCCGCGUGAGUGAAGAAGGUUUUCGGAUCGUAAAACUCUGUUGUUGGAGAAGAACACGUUUGAGAGUAACUGUUCAGACGUUGACGGUAUCCAACCAGAAAGCCACGGCUAACUACGUGCCAGCAGCCGCGGUAAUACGUAGGUGGCAAGCGUUAUCCGGAUUUAUUGGGCGUAAAGCGAGCGCAGGCGGUUUCUUAAGUCUGAUGUGAAAGCCUUCGGCUUAACCGAAGAAGUGCAUCGGAAACUGGGAAACUUGAGUGCAGAAGAGGACAGUGGAACUCCAUGUGUAGCGGUGAAAUGCGUAGAUAUAUGGAAGAACACCAGUGGCGAAGGCGGCUGUCUGGUCUGUAACUGACGCUGAGGCUCGAAAGCAUGGGUAGCGAACA